CAGCCGUGUACUCUCCGCAUCUUCUGUCUCCAACAUUUAAUCAUCCAUCUUAUUUAAAAAAAUAUUAGUAUUUUUAUUGUUAUAAGAUGAUAAAACAUGAAUAGUACUUUAUACAUGACUUAUUUUUUAAUUUUUUUCAUAAACUUUUUAAAUAAGAUGAAUGGUCAAACGUUGAACAUGAAAAUCCACGACUGUAUAUGGG
rfam:Oryza punctata chromosome 6, whole genome shotgun sequence.